rnacentral:rRNA from 1 species
AGUGAACGCUGGCGGUAGGCCUAACACAUGCAAGUCGAACGGCAGCACAGUAAGAGCUUGCCCUUACGGGUGGCGAGUGGCGGACGGGUGAGGAAUACAUCGGAAUCUACUUUUUCGUGGGGGAUAACGUAGGGAAACUGACGCUAAUACCGCAUACGAUCUACGGGUGAAAGCAGGGGAUCUUCGGACCUUGCGUGAUUGAAUGAGCCGAUGUCGGAUUAGCUAGUUGGCGGGGUAAAGGCCCACCAAGGCGACGAUCCGUAGCUGAUCUGAGAGGAUGAUCAGCCACACUGGAACUGAGACACGGUCCAGACUCCUACGGGAGGCAGCAGUGGGGAAUAUUGGACAAUGGGCGCAAGCCUGAUCCAGCCAUGCCGCGUGGGUGAAGAAGGCCUUCGGGUUGUAAAGCCCUUUUAUUGGGGAAGAAAAGCAGCAGGUGAAUACCCCGCUGUUCUGACGGUACCCAAAGAAUAAGCACCGGCUAACUUCGUG